GAUGAACGCUGGCGGCGUGCCUAAUACAUGCAAGUCGAGCGAACAGACGAGGAGCUUUCUUCUCUGUCGUUAGCGGCGGACGGGUGAGUAACAUGUGGAUAACCUACCUAUAAGACGGGGAUCACCUCGGGAAACCGGAGCUAAUACCGUAUCAUCAAGUGAACCGCAUGGUUUAUUAGUGAAAGACGGUUUUUCUGUGACUUAUAGACGGAUCCGCGCCGCAUUAGCUAGUUGGUGAGGUAACGGCUCACUAAGGCAACGAUGGGGAGCCGAACUGAGAGGGUGAUCGGCGACACUGGAACUGGGACACGGUCCAGAGUCCUACGCGAGGGAGCAGUAGGGAAUCGGAAGAAAGGGGCGAGAGCGUGACGCAGCAACAGCGCGGGAGUGAUGAGGGUCUUCGGAUCGUGAAACUCUGAUAGUAGUGAAGAACAAAUAUGAAAGUAGCUAGGCGCGUAUUGACGGUACCUGAUCAGAAAGCCACGGCUAACUACGUG
rnacentral:rRNA from 1 species